rnacentral:rRNA from 1 species
GGCAGCAGUGGGGAAUAUUGGACAAUGGGCGAAAGCCUGAUCCAGCCAUGCCGCGUGUGUGAAGAAGGCUUUCGGGUUGUAAAGCACUUUCAGCGAGGAAGAAAGCCUCUGGGCCAAUACCCCAGAGGAAGGACAUCACUCGCAGAAGAAGCACCGGCUAACUCCGUGCCAGCAGCCGCGGUAAUACGGAGGGUGCGAGCGUUAAUCGGAAUUACUGGGCGUAAAGCGCGCGUAGGUGGCUUGGCACGCCGGUUGUGAAAGCCCCGGGCUCAACCUGGGAACUGCAUCCGGAACGGCCAGGCUAGAGUGCAGGAGAGGAAGGUAGAAUUCCCGGUGUAGCGGUGAAAUGCGUAGAGAUCGGGAGGAAUACCAGUGGCGAAGGCGGCCUUCUGGCCUGACACUGACACUGAGGUGCGAAAGCGUGGGUAGCAAACAGGAUUAGAUACCCUGGUAGUCCACGCCGUAAACGAUGUCGACUAGCCGUUGGGACCUUUAAGGACUUAGUGGCGCAGUUAACGCGAUAAGUCGACCGCCUGGGGAGUACGGCCGCAAGGUUAAAACUCAAAUGAAUUGACGGGGGCCCGCACAAGCGGUGGAGCAUGUGGUUUAAUUCGAUGCAACGCGAAGAACCUUACCUACCCUUGACAUCCAGAGA